rnacentral:misc_RNA from 1 species
UGUAGGAGCUGCCGAAGGCUGCGAUCUUUUGAUCUUUGCCGGUUCACUCGGAGCUCAAGUGUUUCCGGUAAAGAUCGCAGCCUUCGGCAGCUCCUACA